rnacentral:rRNA from 1 species
UACGUAGGGUGCGAGCGUUAAUCGGAAUUACUGGGCGUAAAGCGUGCGCAGGCGGUCUGUUAAGACAGAUGUGAAAUCCCCGGGCUUAACCUGGGAACUGCAUUUGUGACUGGCAGGCUAGAGUAUGGCAGAGGGGGGUAGAAUUCCACGUGUAGCAGUGAAAUGCGUAGAGAUGUGGAGGAAUACCGGUGGCGAAGGCGGCAUCCUGGACCGAGAUUGACACUGAUGAGCGAAAGCUAAGGGGAGCAA